GAUGGAACUUAGAUGUUAGAUGUAUGUCUUAGCAGCCAAUAUGGUUGACACAUUGUAAUAACUCUAGGAUAUAAUUUUAUUCUUAAUACAUUGAUUUGAUCAAUAAAAGGGCAAGUUUAUUCUUUAUUCAAGUGUGAUGUAUCCUUGAAUCAUCCAUGGAAUUAACUUUCAAUACAUAUUCUCAAGGUGUUAAGAAUUAGAGACAUAUAUAUAAUUCCUAAAUGCUCCCAGUCAUAGGAUCAUCAUGAGAAUGGUGAUCGAUCUGGAUAGACUGGCACAU
rnacentral:lncRNA from 1 species